rnacentral:rRNA from 1 species
ACACGUAGGGGCCUGACGUUGUUCGGAAUCAUUGGGCGUAAAGGGCGCGCAGGCGGCCGUCCAAGUCCGGUGUUAAAUGGUCGGGCUCAACCCGAUCAUGCGCUGGAAACUGGGCGGCUUGAGUCCCGUAGGGGAUGCCGGAAUUCCAGGGGUAGGGGUGAAAUCUGUAGAUAUCUGGAAGAACACCGAUGGCGAAGGCAGGCAUCUGGCCGGAGACUGACGCUGAGGCGCGAAGGCGCGGGGAGCGAACAGGUUUAGAUACCCUGGUAGUCCGCGCAGUAAACGAUGCGCACCAGGUGUCGGGCGGCAGCGCCCGGUACCGGAGCUAACGCGAUGAGUGCGCCGCCUGGGGAGUAUACCCGCAAGGGUGAAACUCAAAGGAAUUGACGGGG